rnacentral:rRNA from 1 species
GUUCAACGGCCGCGGUAUCCUAACCGUGCGAAGGUAGCGUAAUCACUUGUUCUUUAAAUGAGGACUAGUAUGAAUGGCACCACGAGGGUUACACUGUCUCCUUUUUUUAAUCAGUGAAACUAAUCUUCCCGUGAAAAAGCGGGAAUUUUUUUAUAAAACGAAAAGACCCUAUGGAGCUUUAAACAAAUUAACAUUUGCUGCCUAAAACAACUCUUCCAGAAACACAACACAUAGCAUAGCAUCAUAAUUAAUAGUUUUAGAUUGGGGUGAUCACGGAAUAAAAAAUAACCUCCAUGCCGAAAGGAACCCUCCUGAGCAAAAAGCCACAACUUUAAGCACUAAAAAAUUAACGUUUAUUGACCCAAUAUUUUGAUCAACGAACCAAGUUACCCUAGGGAUAACAGCGCAAUCCACUUCAAGAGCUCCUAUCGACAAGUGGGUUUACGACCUCGAUGUUGGAUCAGGGUGUCCCAGUGGUGCAGCCGCUACUAACGGUUCGUUUGUUCAACGAUUAAAACCC